rnacentral:rRNA from 1 species
UACAUGGGGUGCAAACGUUGCUCGGAAUUAUUGGGCGUAAAGCGCGCGUAGGCGGUUACUUAAGUCGGAUGUGAAAGCCCUCGGCUUAACUGAGGAAGUGCACCCGAAACUGAGUAGCUAGAGUACGAAAGAGGGUCGCGGAAUUCCCGGUGUAGAGGUGAAAUUCGUAGAUAUCGGGAGGAACACCGGUGGCGAAGGCGGAGACCUGGGUCGAGACUGACGCUGAGGCGCGAAAGCGUGGGGAGCAAACAGG